rnacentral:tRNA from 1 species
GGUCUUAUGGCGCAAUUGGCUAGCGCGUCCGGCUGUUAUCUGAGUUAUCGGGUACCGGGAGGUUGACAGUUCGAGCCUGUCUAGGACCG